rnacentral:rRNA from 1 species
CCUACGGGAGGCAGCAGUGGGGAAUAUUGGACAAUGGGCGAAAGCGUGAUCCAGCCAUGCCGCGUGUGUGAAGAAGGUCUUCGGAUUGUAAAGCACUUUAGGGUGGGAGGAGGGGCAGUAGAUUAAUACUUUGCUGUUUUGACGUUACCGACAGAAUAAGCACCGGCUAACUCUGUGCCAGCAGCCGCGGUAAU